UGAACACCAGGCCACCACAUAGGAACUAAAGAGGUCGGGCUCUUCUCCUCUGCACGAAGUGGGAACUUCCCAUGGCUCCACCCCGUGCUCCCAGUGCUCAGACAAAGUCUGGCUCUAUCGCCCAGGCUGGAGUGCAGUGGUGCAAUCUUGGCUCACUGCUAUCUACGCCUCCUGGACUCAAGCCAUCCUCCCACCUCCGCCUCCCAAGUAGCUGAGACUACAGACACACACCACCAUGCCCAGCUAAUUUUUGAUUUUUGCAGAGGCAGGGUUUCACCAUGUUGCCCAGACUGGUCUCGAAAUCAUAAGUUCAAGCGGUCCACCUGCCUCAGCCUCCCAAAGUGCUGGGAUUACAGGUGUGAGCCCCUGUGCCCAGCCUCUGUUUUCCUUGACUAGGUGAAUGUUUAUCAUUAUAUGAGUCUUUCUGUCCUACGAUGCCUUUUUCCUUAAAAUUUGUUUUUGACAUUAAUAAAUAAACACCAUUUUUUAGAAUUA